rnacentral:rRNA from 1 species
GACAGAGGGUGCAAACGUUGUUCGGAUUUACUGGGCGUAAAGCGCGUGUAGGCGGCUUGGCAAGUCGGAUGUGAAAGCCCACGGCUCAACCGUGGAAGCGCAUCCGAAACGGCCUCGCUCGAGUCUCGGAGAGGAAGGGUGGAAUGCUUGGUGUAGAGGUGAAAUUCGUAGAUAUCAAGCAGAACACCUGCGGCGGAAGGCGGCCCUUCUGGAC